GCGGGGCUGCGCGGCGCGUCGGGCCGCCAAAUUACCCUGGGGCCUUACGAUCCAAACGGGAGCUGUACCUGGCCUGGUCCGUGGACCGGGGCACACGGCGCCCACCUACGCUGUAGGUUCCCGGGAUCGUCGCGGCCAACGGCCUGCGCGGCUCCGCA
rnacentral:other from 1 species